CAGCAGCAGCAGCAGCAGCAGCACAGCAGCAAACAACACAAUCCUUUCGAUCAGCGAGCAACACAGUAGUAGGAGCGAACCGCACUGAGCUCCACGGAGAAAGGAAUAAACUCAUGGGAAGAGGAGACCAAAGGGACUACCGGUUUUUCACCUUGAUUGUUUGGCUGAAUAAAAACCUGAACAAAGAGUGAAAUCCCAGUCUGGUCAAGUCAUUCCUUUUCAAGUGUGGAAACCCAUGAUGUUAAAAUACACUUGCCAG